rnacentral:rRNA from 1 species
CGGGGUGCACCAGGCGCGAAAACUUUACAAUGCGGGAAACCGUGAUAAGGGAACUCCGAGUGCCCGUAAAAUCGGGCUGUCCAUCUGUUUAAAUAACAGGUGAAGAAAGGGCCGGGCAAGACCGGUGCCAGCCGCCGCGGUAAUACCGGCGGCUCGAGUGGUGGCCACUAUUACUGGGCUUAAAGCGUUCGUAGCUGGUCUGUUAAGUCUCUGGGGAAAUCUACUGGCUUAACCAAUAGGCGUUUCAGGGAUACUGGCAGACUAGGGACCGGGAGAGGUGAGGGGUACUCCAGGGGUAGGAGUGAAAUCCUGUAAUCCUUGGGGGACCACCUGUGGCGAAGGCGCCUCACCAGAACGGCUCCGACAGUGAGGGACGAAAGCUGGGGGAGUAAACCGGAUUAGAUACCCGGGUAGUCCCAGCCGUAAACGAUGCGCGUUAGGUGUAUCGGUGACCACGAGUCACCGAGGUGCCGAAGAGAAAUCGUGAAACGUGCCGCCUGGGAAGUACGGUCGCAAGGCUGAAACUUAAAGGAAUUGGCGGGGGAGCAC